rnacentral:lncRNA from 1 species
AGUCAAAUAAAAGAACAUCUUGAAUACUGGAAAACAAUAUAUUAUAUGAUAUACAACAUGGCUUUUGAUUGAAACGAUCAUGUGAGACACAAUAUCUUUCAUACACGACCUUGCAAGAUACAACAAUUAUACCAACAUUCAAACUGAUGUCAUUGUAAUGGAAUUUAAAAAAAAAACUUUUGUAAAAUUGACAAUACUACGGGC